CCUAUCAUAUGGGAUUAUUUUGAAGGAAACACUUGAAACAGUGAUUGAAGAGCUUGAGACGAAUAUGAAGAGCACAUUAUAUUUGAAACAGGAAAAUGAAGAUUACCAAGAAACAGCAAAGGCAUAUUAACAUAAAGUUGAAAAAGCAACAGCACAUCUCAACAUGGACUGGACACAUUUCAAAUACUCAGGAGGCACAUAUGGCUAGUGGCAACUGUAUUGGA
rnacentral:lncRNA from 10 species